rnacentral:lncRNA from 1 species
UCUGGGUAACGGUUUGAUUGUGUUGUUUAGUAUUGAUAUUAUUGUUUACUAGUUAGUAGUAAGGGUCUUAGGCCAUAUAGGCCGGACUACUGGUACUAUUGGUUUGUGUUGUAGAGUCGAGUGUCUAGUUAGGAUCUGGAACUUUAGCUUUAGGUUAUGUUCUAGAUUGAGUUUGUUUUGUUGUGAGUGUGCCGACAGUAUGUGCGUGACCCGCCCAUACUAGGCGUGUGUAGGGGUGAUUAGUGUUUCCUCGGCCUCGUACCCAGCGGGUUCAAGGAAACCCCUUAUUCGCUGGAUCGGGAAGACUCAGACGAACGGUGUCAUGUACUAUGGCUGAGUAUUACACGACGGUGUAAUGUGGCAGUGACCCGAAGGACUGUGGGCUGUCGCGCGGUGACCCGAAUGACUGUGGGCCGCGGUCGGUUGAAAGUUCCUUCUUCUGGCCUUUGUGGUAGGAAGAUAGGAUAUUGCCGAUAGAGAGGAGGAACACGAAGUCACCAGGGCCCAGGUUAGAGUGUUGUGUUAGUGUGUCGUAGAGGGUUAUGGAACCCUCGAGUUAGCGUAGCACCGAUAACGGUGCUACGAGUUAGAUCGAGUCGUAGAUACUCAUAGUUAUUAUUGUGAUUGUGGUUGAUUGAUUUGCUUGCAGGUUAUGACAUUAAGUCCUAAGUCUGGUUUAGGUACCAGAUUAGGCUUGAUGUGUAUUUCGUUAGUGUAGGCCUGACGUUGGCCUGUAUGUGUUUGAGGGAUUGCUUGUGAAGGGUGGUGGAUAUUUUUGCCUGUAUGUGUUUGAGUGAUUGCUUGUGAAGGGUGGUGGAUAUUAAAGCUAUGCGGUAUCAUUGGUUGGCCGAUCAUGUUCUUGUUUGAUUGUUGGUCGAUCGAUUAAUGAUACUUGCAUAGUCUAAGUGUCUAACACUACAUGAGUAUUGAACUCAGGCGUAUAUAUGGUUAACUAGGGAUUGUUUGUUGACUUGUUUUUAUGCAGGUUCCCGUUACUUGAAGCUAGAUCAUGGCAGGAGGCCAAGUCUAACUUAGUAACGGUUUGCUUAGCCUUAGCUUUUAUUGCCUGCUAGGGCUAGAUUGAUUGUUAUUUUGGGUUGUCUGGGUUAGAGUCUAGGUUGCGGGUAGAGGCCGCCAGCUCACUGAGUAAUACUAGAUUACUCAUCCAACUCCGUUGUCCUUUUUGCAGGUCGCUUUAGGUAAGGAUGAUCGGAUAGCUUGGUGCUGGACGUUAGGACCGCCGGUGUAGAUUUUCAUGCCUUUUGUAAACGGUAUUGAGUUAUAUGUUUUGUUGACUCGAUUUGGCAUUAGGCCGGGCCCAGUCUUGAAUUAUUCAAUGUAUGAAUAUUUCUUGAAUCAAUAAAAGUAAUUGUUUUAUAUGCGCUUCAUGAGUACUCUGAUAUUUGACUAGUCCGGUCUAACACAACGUUAGGUCGAGGUACGGGUUGAAAAGCCUUAGGCCUUGAUCUAACGGAAAACGCUAACUCUAGGUACGGGUUGCAAAGCCUUAUGCCUUGACGCAGCGGGACGAGUUAGUGGAUGAACUGGUCUAGGUCGUGGAGUAAAAGUUUGUGGCUCUGACCGGAUCGUCCCUAACCCGUCACGUAGCGCUUCCGGACCAUGGUGUUGGGUUGGACGGAGUUUGUGACUCUGACCGGAUCGUCCCUAACCCGUCACGUAGCGCUUCCGGACCAUGGUGUUGGGUUGGACGGUCAGUCAUGUUCUUGUUUGAUUGUUGGCUGGCCGGUUGGCUCAUUCAUCUCUAACCCUGGGUGUUGGACGGUCGAUCGGUCAUGUUCUUGUUUGAUUGUUGGCCGGUUGAUCGACCAUAUGUCUAGGACGGUUCGGGGGUGUUACAGAGGUGGUAUCAGAGCAUGGUUUCGUCCAUGCUUUCGGAACUCAUGAUUUAAUCGGUUUUUGAAUAUUUUAUCGAGUCAAAAUGAGUCACAAAAGGCAUUAGGGAAACCGGUCACGUCCAGCGAUAGGAUUUUUGGUUUUAGGAAUUUGGAUUGAGAUAGUGGAAUCUAGAACUGUUAGGUUGCUUGGGUAGAAUUGCUAGGUUGCUUGGGUAGAACUGUUAGGUUUCUGGUUAGCAUUGCUAGGUUGUUGUUAGUAGACUAUUGGGAUUAGUUGUCUACUAACUUGUGUGUGAGGUGUUCUUUUGAGUUGCAGCGAGUAAGUGUGUUUGUUGAUCGGAACUUUAAGGGAUGAAAACCUUAAAGUGGAGGGAGUUCAAGGCCAAACCCAAACCCGAAGCGAAAGAAGAGAGACAGAUUCAGAGAACUGGGCUGUGGUAUGGACUGGACAGAUGGGAGGAAACAAGACUUCAUUGGGGAAAGGACUUCAUCAGUACUUGGGAAGACGAAGAUCGAGAAGGAUUUGAGGAAUCUGGACAAGGAUGAUAUCUAUCGAAAUGACAAGAUAGUAUCAUGGGCGAUGGGUGUGUUAUGACAGAGUAAAAGCAAGAGGACGACUCAGUCAUCAUACAAGUGAAGAGAUAUAAAGACAAUUGUGGAGUCCUUGAAGAGGACACUGAAGGAACUGUCGUGGACAGAGUAAAGAGGUUAUGGAGACGCGUGGAGAGGUUGCGAGACCAGAAGCUAUUUGCCAAGUUCAGUAAGUGUUCGUUUUGGAAGAGAGAGAUUGGAUUUCUUGGUCAUAUAGUAUCAGGAGAGGGCGUGGCUCCUGAUCCAGAGAAGGUCCAAGCCAUACGGGAAUGGCCUAGACCUACCACAGUGACGGAAGUGAGGAGUUUUCUCGGACUCGCGGGCUAUUAUCGGAAGUUUGUUAAGGACUUUUCUUCCAUUGUAAAGCCCUUAACUAAACUGACCGGUAAAGGAGUACCUUACCUUUGGGUGGAAGCAACAGAGAAUGCAUUCAAGACGUUGAAGGAAGCUCUCACCACCGCACCGGUGUUAGCUUUGCCCGAGCAAGGAAAACCUUACACGGUUUACACGGAUGCUUCACGAGUUGGUCUGGGUUGUGUUCUUAUGCAAGAUGGGAGAGUCAUUGCAUAUGCCUCGCGGCAACUACGGAAAGCAUGAAGAUAACUACAGCACACACGACUUGGAGUUAGCGGCCGUGGUGUUUGCUUUACGAAUUUGGAGAUCAUAUUUGUACGGGGAAGAAGUGGAGGUAUACACAGACCACCAAAGUCUUAAAUACCUCUUCACUCAGCCAGAUCUCAACCUGCGCCAACGUAGAUGGAUGGAGUUUGUAGCUGACUAUGACCUAAAGAUUCGUUACCAUCCUGGUAAAGCGAAUGUUGUGGCAGAUGCCUUAAGUCGAAGGAAGAUGGAUUCAGAUUUAGAAAAAGAAGUGGAGCUGUUGAAUCAAGAGUUGAAGCAAGUGAAGUUGGUGGCUUUGGAAGGGCAGACAAGUGAACCAUUGGGAGUACAAGCAGUGAAUCAAGCCAGCUUGAUUCAGAAGAUUCGAGAGGAGCAACUUAAAGACGAGAAGCUACAAAAGAUUGCUGAAGAACUCAGAGGGCAAGAUUGACCAAAUAGUGCUGGCUACUACUUGGCGGAUGAUGGAACUUUACUUAUUAAUGGGAGGAUCACGGUCCCAAAAGGACAAGGGCUGAGAGAUGAGAUACUAAGGGUCGCACACCAUUCUUUACUUAGUAUCCAUCCUGGAAGUUUGAAGAUGUACCGAGAAGUGAGAAGAUACUAUCAUUGGCCGGGCAUGAAGAGAUUGGUAGCACAAUGGGUCGCGCAGUGUGCAACAUGCCAGCAAGUCAAAGUGGAAAACCAAGUUCCAGGAGGACUGUUGCAGAGUCUUCCGGUACCACAGUGGAAAUGGGACUCGAUUUCCAUGGAUUUCAUCACCGGUUUACCCACCGCUCCAGGUAGAUCGAACAACUCAAUCUGGGUGAUUGUGGAUAGGUUAACCAAGGUCACACACUUGUUAUCGAUGAGGGAUACGGAUAAAGUUGAAGUACUGGCCGAGCUGUACAUCAACGAAAUCGUGAAGUUACAUGGAGUACCUUCAGACAUCGUCUCAGAUCGUGACCCUAGGUUCACCGCAGCAUUUUGGGAAGCAUUACAGGAAGCCUUGGGGACGAAAUUGUUUAGAAGCACGGCGUUUCAUCCAGAAACAGAUGGCCAAACGGAGAGAACUAUUCGGACAAUCGAGGACAUGCUUCGGAUGUGUAUUCUCGAUUGGGCAGGAAGUUGGGAGAGGCAUUUACCGUUGGUUGAGUUCUCAUACAACAACAGUUAUCAUGCGAGCAUAGGGAUGUCACCUUAUGAAGCUUUGUAUGGAAGGCCAUGCAAGACACCUUUAUUUUGGACGGAAGUGGGAGAAAGAAGAAUGUUUGGAUCGCCGAUCGUUCAAGAGACUACGGUAAAGCUGGAGACGAUUAAGACCAACAUGAAGAAGGCUCAGGACCGUCAGAAGAAGUACGCAGACCAGUCAAGAAGAGAGGUAACAUUUGAGAUAGGAGAUUGGGUCUAUUUGAAGGAUACAGCACAGAAAGGAAAGGACAGAUUUGGCAAGGUUGGAAAACUCGCGGUCAGGUUCAUUGGUCCGUACAAGAUCAUCGGUAGAGUUGGUGAGGUAGCUUACCGUUUGGAUCUGCCUGAAGAUAUGCAUCUACAUCCAGUGUUCCAUGUCUCCAUGCUUCGGAGACAUAUACGAGAUCCAAGUGCUGUAGAACCCGAGAGAAUCGAGGAGCUAAGGUCAGAUCUUACAUAUCCAGAAGGACCGAUCCGAUUGGGAGAAAGGCGUAUUAGAAGACUGAAGAAUCGUGAGAUUGCUCAAGUACAAGUUUUCUGGGGGAGACGAAACAGAAUUCAUGUUACUUGGGAGGAUGAAGAGAGAUUUAAGGUCGACCACCCUGAGUUUUUCCGAGAGGAUGUUGUGAUGGAAGAAGGAGGCCCCUCAGAGGCUUAGAAUUCGAGGACGAAUUCUGUUAAGGGGGGAAGAAUGUAGAAACCCGUUGCAAUGGAUGGUCGAAGAAUUGAUCAUGGGUGAACCAUAAGCUGUUGAUUAACAGGGACAGUCGGUGUAGUGGUCGUACCGCGGGCAAUGGAUGGUCGAAGAAUUGAUCAUGGGUGAACCAUAAGCUGCUGGACCAUGGUUAGAAAAGUGUUAGAUUGGUCAGAAGGAUGUUUUGGAAGCAUAACAUUUUUGGAAGCACGACGGUUUAGAAGCUCGACGUUUCAGAAACCCGUCAUUUCUUAGCCACUAAGUUUUCCGCAAAACUUAAUGGCUAUCACCAGAAUAUCAUUUGGAAGAUAUUAUAAGUUGGAAGCAGGACGGGAGUUAAGCAGGGCGGGAAGCAAGCACGACGGGAUUGAAGCACGACGGGAAAACCCGAAGUUGGGCGAAAACCCUAAUUUUGGUAUUAUCGAUUUUUCGAGGAAGCCGGAGGCUUGGGAAAUAUUUUCCAUCAAGGUCAGGAUUCACUUGGAGUUUAUUAAAAAUAUUCAUCUCAUCAGAACGGGCGUAGAAAAAUAUUCGGGAUUGAUCGCGGGACGAAAAUUCACCGGAAGGGUCGAAAUCAGUCGAAUGGACCGAGAAGCUCGAGCUGGCCUUAUCUAUGAGAUAAGGACGUGAUGUAACCUGCCUGGCAUGGUAUGUGGCAAGGGAAGCAGGAGGUGUUGAAGCCCAGGAGAGCACAGCAUGCUGAUGGACACCCAGAAGCACGAGGUGCCGCGAAACCUGCGAUCGGAGCAUGCUGAGCGACAUGUGUGCGCUGAGUAUCAAUCUGGAUGAGGUCAGGACGUGGAUCAGACAUCUGGAGGGCAUGGUGUCACUCUGCAUGAUGUCCUGGUCAUGCCAUCAGACAUGUGGAGCAUGAGGUGCCGCGACGCAUGCGUCCGGAGCCAUGCGAAGCGACACACGGGCUGCCACACGGCUUGUUUCUGAUUGGUUGCUGCAUCCUAUAUAAACCCCACGACCCCAGCUCAUUUAAAACCAUCCAGCACACCUGAAACUCAGAGAAAAACGUGAGAGAGAAAGCUAGAGAAAGAAAGUUCGAGUUUCGAUCGUUUUCGAGUCUUUUCGGCAGUUUUCGAGAACAGUUAUUCUACUGAUUUCAAGUCAGCGCCUAGGGAAGGUUCUGGCCAACUGAAGAUCAACCAAUUGAAUAUCAAUUCAGAUGGGAAGCAAGUCAACGUGGUUAGAGAGAGAGAGAAAGAGAGUGUAGCUGAGUUCCGAAGAUCGAUACUUCACCAAGAAGCGAAGUUCUGUCCAAUCGAAGAAUUUCUGCAAUUGUUAUGCGGAAGCUCUGCCCAAGUCAAUCUGUCCACUCUACUCAUAUUCUUUGAUGAUCAAGUGGAGGUGCUGUCCAAGAUCAGUUCAGUUCCAUGGUUUCAGUUAAGUUGAGGUUAUGGUUCGAUACUUUGUUCAGAUUUCGGAAGAAUUGUUCAUAAGCUAAGGAAGGUGCUGUUCGAGUUGAGUUCAGUCCAGACCAGUAUCAGGGGAGGUUCUGUACAAGUCAAGAUCAGUCCAGUCCAGUCCAGUCCAGUCAAGGCGUCCCUUGGGUUUUGGCCAAGUCCUCUCCGAUCAACCAGCGGCUUCUCGCCUAGAACACUGUGAGUUGGUUUGUGUGAAUUCCACUUGGAAUUUAGGGUAGUUUUGUGAGUUGGUUUGUUUGAAUUCCAAUUGGAAUUUAAGGUAGAUCGAGUCUGCAUAUAGAUUAGAAUGAUCACGCUAUUGAAUGGUAGAGUCCUUAGGGUUAUUUUAUUUAUGGAACCGGACUCAGUUUAGCAAGGGCUAAGCUGAGAUGAAUGGAAUUAAGACUGAGUUGAUAACCUGAUUAGGACUAAGAUUAGGAUGCAUCAUGUUUUAUAUUCUUGCGUGUGAUAUGGUUGAGUGCAGGUUCCCGUUAUCUUUAAAGAUAGUUUCUCAGCGGGAGGCUGGACUAUCUGGGUAGCGGUUUGAUUGAGUUGUUUAUUGAUAUUAUUGUUUAGUAGUUAGUACUAAGGGUCUUUGGCCAUAUAGGCCGGACUACUGGUACUAUUGGUUUGUGUUGUAGAGUCGAGUGUCUAGUUAGGAUCUGGAACUUUAGCCUUAGGUUAGGUUCUAGAUUGAGUUUGUUUUGUUGUGAGUGUGCCGACAGUAUGUGCGUGACCCGCCCAUACUAGGCUUGUGUAGGGGUGAGUUAGUGUUCCUUCAGACCUCGUACCCAGUGGGUUCAAGGAAACCCCUUAUUCGCUGGAUCGGGAAGACUCAGAGAGACGGGGUCAUGGCCUAUGGCUGAGUGAUUACACGACGGUGUAAUGUGGCAGUGACCCGAAGGACUGGGGGCUGUCGCGCGGUGACCCGAAGGACUGUGGGCCGCAAUCGGUUGAAAGUUCCUUCUUCUGGCCUUUGUGGUAGGAAGAUAGGAUAUUGCCGAUAGAGAGGAUGAACACUAAGUCACCAUUUCCCGGGGUAGUGUGUUGUGUUGUGUUACAGUGUCGUAGAGGGUUAUGGUACCCUAGAGUUAGUGUAUCACCGAUAUACGGUGUUACGAGUUAGAUCGAGUCGUAGUUACUAAUAGUCUUAUUAUUGUGAUUGUGUUUGGUUGAUUGAUUUGCUUGCAGGUUCUGACAUU